AUUGAACGCUGGCGGCAGGCCUAACACAUGCAAGUCGAGCGAGCGGCGGACGGGUGAGUAAUGUCUGGGAAACUGCCUGAUGGAGGGGGAUAACUACUGGACACGGUAGCUAAUACCGCAAACAAUCAGAUGUGCACAGAUGGGGUUAGCUCGUAGGGCGGGUAACGGCUCCCCUAGGCGACGAUCCCUAGCUGGUCUGGGAGGAUGACCAGCCAAACUGGAACUGAGACACGGUCCAGACUCCUACGGGAGGCAGCAGUGGGGAAUAUUGCACAAUGGGCGCAAGCCUGAUGCAGCCAUGCCGCGUGUGUGAAGAAGGCCUUCGGGUUGUAAAGCACUUUCAGCGGGGAGGCGUUACCCGCAGAAGAAGCACCGGCUAACUCCGUGCCAGCAGCCGCGGUAAUAC
rnacentral:rRNA from 1 species